rnacentral:misc_RNA from 1 species
GCUAUUUCAUGUUUGCUAAUUAAUCUGGUUGAUCCACAAUUGUCCGAGGCAGGUCUGAAGUCAUGUUUUAAGUAAGCAUUAUUUGAUGUAGUGUUGUCCUUCAGAUAUUCGGAAUGCACCAAAUUUCCCAUUUUGUCUUCUCUUGCCGUCUCAAGCUUAAGGGUAGAACAAGUGAUCAUCUUUUCUCAAAUAUCUCCCUUUUUCCAUUUUUAUCCUUUUGUGUUCUGUUUUCCUUUGUUAUUUUAUCUUCCUCCUACUUCUUGAUCUCAUUUGCCUUAAUCAUCAUUUGGGCCAUGUUUCAUGCCACUUCAUCUCCAUUGUUUCUUUCUUAACUUGGGGUUAUUCUUUUCGCAUCCCGUUGUUAGCCUUGUCUUGUCCAGUUAUUGUCCAUGCUCUCCAGUCUAAUCUUUGUUCCCUCAGGAUUUCUAUGUACUUUUGGUUUCAUCCAUGUAUGUGUACUUGAGAAGCCU